GAUGAACGCUGACAGAAUGCUUAACACAUCAGCCAUUGAUUGGUGGCGGACGGGUGAGUAACGCGUAAAGAACUUGCCUCACAGGUAGGGACAACAUUUGGAAACGAAUGCUAAUACCUAAUACUGUGAGAGAACUUUGCGUCCCAUUAGCUAGUUGGAGAGGUAACGGCUCACCAAGGCGAUGAUGGGUAGCCGGCCUGAGAGGGUGAACGGCAACAAGGGGACUGAGACACGGCCCUUAUUCCUACGGGAGGCAGCAGAGGGGAUUAUUGGACAAUGGACCAAAGGCUGAUCCAGUAAUGCUGUGUGCACGAUGAAGUUUACGGAAUGUAAAGUGCUUGCAGUUGGGAAGCGGUACCAGCAGAAGAAGUGACGGCUAAAGACGUGCCAGCAGCCGCGGUAAUUC
rnacentral:rRNA from 1 species